UAAGAUUUUAUAGAAGAGUUGCUAUAUGGCACACCGAAGGAGUAACACUCUCAGGUACUUUUAAAGUAGGACUGUAAAAUUUAC
rnacentral:ncRNA from 4 species